UUAGGCAAAAUGGCACCGUAACUUCGGGAGAAGGUGCGCCCUUUGGUGUGGUCACGUGCGUGACUGAGCAUUGAAGGGUCGCAGUAACCUGGCCGCUGCGACUGUUUAUCAAAAACACAGCACUCUGCAAACACGAAAGUGGACGUAUAGGGUGUGACGCCUGCCCGGUGCUGGAAGGUUAAUUGAUGGGGUCAGCCGCAAGGCGAAGCUCUUGAUCGAAGCCCCAGUAAACGGCGGCCGUAACUAUAACGGUCCUAAGGUAGCGAAAUUCCUUGUCGGGUAAGUUCCGACCUGCACGAAUGGCGUAACGACAGCGGCGCUGUCUCCACCCGAGACUCAGUGAAAUUGAAAUCGCUGUGAAGAUGCAGCGUUCCCGCGGCAAGACGGAAAGACCCCGUGAACCUUUACUAUAGCUUUACACUGAACGUUGAGUUCUUCUGUGUAGGAUAGGUGGGAGGCUAUGAAACCAGGACGCUAGUUCUGGUGGAGCCAUCCUUGAAAUACCACCCUGAAGUGCUUGACGUUCUAACCUAGGCCCGUAAUCCGGGUCAGGGACCGUGUAUGGUGGGUAGUUUGACUGGGGCGGUCUCCUCCCAAAGAGUAACGGAGGAGCACGAAGGUACGCUCAGCGCGGUCGGACAUCGCGCACUGUGUGCAAAGGCAUAAGCGUGCUUGACUGCGAGAUCGACGGAUCAAGCAGGUACGAAAGUAGGUCUUAGUGAUCCGGUGGUUCUGUAUGGAAGGGCCAUCGCUCAACGGAUAAAAGGUACUCCGGGGAUAACAGGCUGAUACCGCCCAAGAGUUCAUAUCGACGGCGGUGUUUGGCACCUCGAUGUCGGCUCAUCACAUCCUGGGGCUGUAGCCGGUCCCAAGGGUAUGGCUGUUCGCCAUUUAAAGUGGUACGCGAGCUGGGUUCAGAACGUCGUGAGACAGUUCGGUCCCUAUCUGUCGUGGGCGUUGGAGAUUUGAGGGGGGCUGCUCCUAGUACGAGAGGACCGGAGUGGACGUUCCGCUGGUGUUCGGGUUGUCAUGCCCAUGGCAUUGCCCGGUAGCUACGAACGGAAGUGAUAACCGCUGAAAGCAUCUAAGCGGGAAGCACGCCCCAAGAUGAGAUCUCCCGAGAGCUUGACUCUCCUAAAGGCACCAUCAAGACUAGGUGGUUGAUAGGUCAGGUGUGGAAGCGCAGCAAUGCGUUGAGCUAACUGAUACUAAUGAGCCGUGAGGCUUGACC
rnacentral:rRNA from 1 species